rnacentral:rRNA from 1 species
UACAGAGACUACAAGCGUUAUCCGGAUUUAUUGGGUGUAAAGGGUCCGCAGGCGGCUUGCCAAGUCACUUGUUAAAUCGUUGGGCUUAACUCAACGGCUGCGAGUGAGACUGGCAAGCUAGAGACUGGGAGAGGCAUGUGGAAUUUCCGGUGUAGUCGUAAUAAGCGUUGAUAUCGGAAGGAACACCAAAGGCGAAGGCAGCAUGCUAGAACAGUUCUGACGCUCAGGGACGAAAGCGUGGGGAGCGAAAGGG